UAAUUAACAGGAUGUAAAAGAACCAAUUAGUGUCUUAUUAGCUUGACAGAUGGUGAACCCGAAUUCAAUGUGAAGUAAUAUGCCAAUUCAGCUUGACCAUCAAAAUCAAUGAUCUUCUUGUUCCCAAUCUAGCAUCGAUGGACAUUUCAUGAUAUGCUCAUUAGAGGAGAGAUGACAAAAUAUUCCGAAGUUUCCAUCUGGAAAAAAGCACACCUCCACAAUAAAAUUUGUAGGCAAGACCAUAUCCACUCAAGAUCCUAAUAUGCAACCAGGACAGGACAAUAAGCUCUCAAUCUGGCACUAUAGGAGUAUGGUCGUUAGCUCACACAAUACAUUUACCCAUCAAAAUAUCUACAAUUCAGAGGUAGCGAAUAAACUAGGAAGCAUCAGAAAAUAGAGAACCACACAUCCAGCUAUUCAUGUUCCAUAAAUGUGCAUAAUUUGCUGCACAAGACAGUUUUAAAGGGCAAGCAUUAAUCAACACAAAUUAAUCAAAGGUUUGUCUCUGUAGAACUAACCCAUAUGACUUGUCCAUUAUUUGAACUAUUUCCUGAAGAGGACUCCUUCUCUAUGACCUUCAACAAAGUCGGAAGUCCACUCUCUCCAACCGUUUCAAGAACAGUAAAUCUACCCAAGGUCAAACCAGCAGAGGUGUUUUUCUUCUUGCGGAUUCAACUAUAAUAACUCGAGGACGCAAAUUGGAGGAGAUUUACGUGUUGUCAUGGACCGGAAAAAGCAGAAAAUGGUUGCCAAGACAUGGAGACCUCUUUCUACUCAAUCAAGGUCUAUUGAAGGGCAGUGUUUCUCCUCACUUGCUAAUAUUAGAUUGAGUUGUUUCACUGUUCUAGAUUGUUGAGCUUAUGUACCUUCGUGUAGCUAUUGGAAUUCUUAGGUUUACAAACCUCGCGUAAAAUCCAAAUAAUUAAAUAGGUUGUUAUAAAGCAGUUGUUGAUCACAAUUUCAAAAGGCUUAAGCACCUCAAGAAACAAAACUAUUUGGAAUUUGGGUGUCUUAAUAAGUAGUAGAUGUGUUUAUUUGCCUUGAAAGACAGACUAAUAGUGAAAUGAAAUAGACCUGAAUAAAGUGGAAUUGAUACAGAUGAUUUUAUAUAACUGAUCCAAACUAAUUUAGGUCAAGCAUUUAAAUGAAGAAACAUAGGAUUUUAGGUGAAACACUAAGGUAAACGAAAAUGCAAUUAAGGUAUGAACUGGAAACCCUAAUUCAGAGAAAUGCAAGUCAAACAUAUAGUUGAUCUAAUAUACUAACGCAUUCUUCUGAAGGAAACAAAAAUAACUUGUUCUUAAGAAAAGUUUAUCCAAAUCCCCACAACAAGUAUAGAUAGAAGUUAUCCAAUGAAUGUAAUGUAUUUCUACUGAUAUUGAACAUAUAAAUCUUUUUGUCCCCGUGAAACUAUCAUAAUUAAGGGCUUGAUAGAUUUUUGGAGAAAAUAUCAAGGAUAUUCAAAUAAGCUAAUAACCUUUCCCACUGCCUAAAGGUAGAGCGAAGAGAAGAUAUCACAAAUAUCAUUGCAGCAAAAGGUAAAUCAUAUCUUCUCCCUUCUGGAAGAAAUAUUUAUGCUGGUAAUAUCCAUGUCACAAUCAUAAUUCAUAUUGAUGCUAAUUAGAAACAAACAGCUGUAAGAAACAAGAAACGACACAGCAGUUCACUAAAGAAGUGAUAGCUUUCUUAGCAUGCACUGUCAAACUUGCAAAUUCAUCAGAAUAACUACCAAAAGCUUGUAAUAUGUCUGGUGAGCCACACUCAAAAUUACAUAUCAGUGUUCCCAGUAGUGUCGGUCAACUUCGAUUGUGAACCAUGGGGUCUGUUUGUUUUUGACUUCAUAGAAAGAUAAAGAGAUCUGCAUCAUUUUGAGGUUCCAACAGAAGUUUUGUUAGCCACUAUCAAAUCCAACAGCAAAUAAGUUUGAAAAAAGUCUCGAGUAAGAAGGUCAUUGGUGGCACGCGGGAAGGGCUCAUACAUUUGCUGCAGGCUUUGAAAAAGGAAUUGAUAGUGACUUUGAACCUGUUCUUUCCAUGAAGAGGAAUGUACACAUUUAAAUAAAAACAGAGAACACUAGUUUAAAACGUAAAAGGAACAAAUGUAACAAUGAAUAUUGAGCAACUAUACUACAUGAACAAAUGGAUAAGCACAGAUCAUGAACCUGGUGUUUCCAGCUGGGAUCCUUUUUCACCCUAUCAAUGAAUUGAGGAAUCUUCUCAUUACUUUUCCUCUCAACUUCAGCAUCACCACUCCU